GGAUGUCCAAAAGAUUUUUGGGUUAUUUCAAGUUUUGUGCCAACAUUUGGGCGUUUCCCAUCAGAUUUGGGGAUUUCCCACCAAAAAUUGGGCGUUUUCUCCUGGAGUUUUAAAUUAUUUUGGAGUUUUGCACCCAAAUUUGGGGGUGGGAUAUUUUUGGGCACCUCCGAGGGGUUCAGAGCAUCCAAACCCCCCCCUGGAUUUCGGGGUGCCGCCAUUUUCACCCCGAAUUUGGGUGGUUUUGUGCCACAAUUCCGGAUUUUUCCCUGAUUUUUGGCGCUUUUUCCCAAAACCGCUGUUUUUCCCCCCAAGCUGGAGCUGCGCUGCCUCGAGGGGCUCCGGGACCCCCCUGGGGGACCCCGAGGGGGGCCCUGGGGGCCCCUCCCCCCCACCGCGGCGACGGCCCCGAAUUCUCCGACCCCCGGCUGCUCCCGUUCGUGGAGCAGCGGCGGGAAAAGUGGCACCGGAAAAAGUUCAUCCCCUCCCCCCCCUCAGGUUUGGACCUUUCCAAGAUGGUGGCGUUGAUGGGGGGCGGAGCCAGCAGCGCAGGGGGCGUGGCCUCUCCUUCCUUAGCCCCGCCCCCGCGCUUCCGGCCGGAAGCAGAAGAGGAAGCGGAAGCAGGGAGCGGGUGCUGCCCCCUGCUGGCCGACCCCAUGUUGCCACCCACUUCCGACUCGGAUUAAGCCCCGCCCCUUUUCCUGCCGGGGCCACGCCCCCCUUCCCAUAUUUAUAUAAAUAUGUAAAAUGUCUCUGUGUCAUAGGGGGCGGGGCGGGGGGCGGGGCUGAGCGGGGCGGGGCCGAGCAGGGCGGGGUCAAUGUGGGCAGGGCUGGUGGGAUGGGAGGGGCCUGGCGGGUUUUUUUUAAUAAAAGGUUUGGAAAUGGAGCACAGUGCUGUGAGUGAUUUCCCCCUAAUUACCUGCUAA
rnacentral:lncRNA from 1 species